GGGACUAGAGCAUGAGGAGGCUGGCUAUGAAGUAGAGCAGCGAGGAGGCGGGUGGCAGGCGGCGGCCGGUUUGUUCGUAUCUGCACACAGGGGAAGAUGUAAAGGAUAAGGUGGGUUAGAAGCGAUAUUUCGCGGGGGUGUCUGUGCUGGCGAGCCGACGUGUCGUGCCACGUCCAUGAUUUUGAUAAAAAUAAAAGAAAUCUUCUCUCUCCAA
rnacentral:lncRNA from 1 species